GAUUCGAUGGCGCGGUGCUUCGCGCCGACGGUCAUCGCGUCGAAAAACUCCAAUCUGUUGGGGUCGGAUUCGUACUCC
rnacentral:tRNA from 1 species